rnacentral:lncRNA from 1 species
CCACCACACCCGGCUGGUUUUGAUUUUUUUAAUUGAAAAAUAUAUUAAACAUAAACAUAUUCUGGCCACAUAAUGUAUGCUUGUUUUUUUGUUUGUGUAGUCACAAGUUUUUCUGUGAUGCCUGGAUUUGCAGGGAAACCAGCCUGAACACUCAUUUCACGGUGUCUGUUACUUGGAAGGAAAACACAGUUUCUUAUUUCUUUGCAGAACCACUUGGGUGAAUGUAGGCUGUUAAAGUUGAAGGUGAGCUCACGUGCUCGAAUUCUGAGCCCAUGUGAGGAUGUCAGUAACUUCCAGUGGGGCAUGAAAACGAUACUGUGUUUUAACCCAAGCUCUCUUUGCCUCUCCAUUCCCACUUGCCUGGAUUUGGCUGGAUGUGCACCGCAAGGCUCCUUAUUUCUGGCACUACUGUACAAAAUGACCAGUGAAUCCCUCUUAUGUCAUGACUCUGAUUCUGAGUUCCUGGAAUCUUAAAAUAUAUCCAACACCUCUUUUCAUGUUUAGCAUUUCUGCACUAUUUUAAAACUUUUUAAGACCGUAAUUCAAUUUAUCCCCCAUGAGAAACCAAAUGUAUUUGGCACUUCCCUUCAUCCUUUGUGCUUACUUCUCAAUUCUAUUUCUGAUUUGUUGCCUGGCAUCCUUUGCUUUGGGAUCUAUGUGCCAAGAAAGCCACAAGGUUAACGUGGACCUGAACAGUGCUCUGUGAUCCUCUGUUGGAAAUCGCCAGAAAUCAAGGCAGUUUGGUAACAUCAUUCCGUGAGGCCUGAGCUUGCAGAACGCCUUGGGGAUGACCUUCUUAUUGGAUGCACACCAACUGCACUGUCUAGUAUACUAAGGUGAUGGUUGCUAUAUAGUGUGUGUUGUGAAGACUCAUAAGAUUAAAGGUUAUUCUCGUGAGAUAGAUAGGGCCAGGCUCCCGGGAAAUUCCCCAUAAGUUGAAACAAACAGUAAGGACACAUUUGCCUGGCCAAGGAAGUGAUCAAAGGAUCUUCGUGAGAAAACAGGAGAUUUAGGACCAGCCAAGAGAGUCAUUGUUUUCUUCGCUGCUAGCCUGGGUCACUUCCUCAUUAGUUAUGUCCCCAGAUAUUGGUCACCAAGAUCCCUGGGCCACUUUCCCAAUCCUUUGUAACCAAGUUCUGCUGAGAGUCCAUGUAAGAGCUGUAAGUCAACUGAAAUAUCUUCUCUACAAUGGACUUAAGCUUCUCAAAGCCAAAUAUAGUAUGAAUCACAAGAUGAAAACCUAAAACAAUCAGCUAACAGUUGGGAAACACUACCUCACUCCCCACCACCUACAAUAUACACACACAUACACAUCCAUCCAAACAUUUCUUUCUUUUAAGCUCUAAGUGUCAAAUCCCUGGACUGACAAUUACAUAUAUUUUCCCUCAUUUAUCUUAUAUUUUGAAUUGCACGUGCUUUUGAAAACCACCUAAAAUCCUUUGGGGAAAAAUAACGCAUAGGUUAAUCACUUUGUAAAUGAAAAAUAAAUGAUGUGCCAUUCUUCUUCCAAGGUUUUCCCUUUCACUGCAGCCCAGCAGUCCUUACUCUGUCCUAAGUUCCUUUAGCUUCCUUGCGGAAAUGCAGCUUCUAGGCUGCCUCGUGGUUUUUGCAGAGCACAGACAGCAUCCUGGAAGUAUGACGUGCUCUUCACUGGCAAGGACCUUCAGAGUUCCUCAGCCCCUCUCUCACUAGCUAUUGACACUCCCCAGCCCAGGCUUGGGCACAGACGAUGCGUUUGACAAACAAGUACUAUUGUUUGGGCCAGCCAGAUCUGUGGAAUGAACUUUGGAACUCAAAGGGGACUAAAGAUAGUUUUCUUUCACAUCUGCUAUGCUCCCAAGAUAGUUUAAGAGUUGUUGAAUGACUAUGUGUUUUAUGGGCACAAUCUCACUUAAUCCGCACAACUAGUUCAUCCUGUAGACAAGGAAACAAAGGCAUAAAGAGGCUUAGUCACCUGUCCAACAUGAAGAAACAUUGCCGGGAAGUCAGGCAAUCAACUUCACAAUUCAAAAUCUUGGUCAUGCAGGAGGAGCCAGAGGGAAAGAAAUAGCUGGGCGGUUAGAAAUGUGGCUUCAGCAAGACCACGGCGUUUGCUCUGGGCAUUGAAUGACAAGAUGAUUUGAAAUACGCAGAGAAGCUGGAGGCUGCUUAAGGAAAAGUAUGAGCCAAGUUUCCAAAUCUGGAAAGCACAGCCGGUCAUCGGCUCUUCCCAGAGCCUGGCCAAUGCUUCGCUGAGAAGGCCUCGCAGCAGCCCCCGAGGAUGAAGGAGGUGGGGGUCCUUGUGCUACUACUGUGACCUCUAGAAGAGAGAGGGCCAGGGCCCACCCACUACCCCCCAGCCCACCGCAGCCAGAUCCUGCGAAACUCCAGGCCUGGGCUGCCUUCAUCUUUAUAAUGAAGCUUAAUUUAUACUCUGGAGCAGAGUGCUGUGUAAUGACAUACAUGGCCAUACGCUCGGGAAGGAGUGGCAGGUUAAAGACUCAAUUUCCUGGCCUCUCCAGCUUUGCGUCACCCUGCUUAAUGAUAUUUCAACAUUGAAAGUAUCCCAGUUGCGUCUUCUGAAGCUGAGUCUCCUGUUUUAUGGUUCAUCCAAAUGUGCAGUGCUCAUCUGACUCGCUCAUCACCAUGCAGUGGGGCUGCAUGGAUGAAGCUAAUUUGUGCCGGGCCUAUUUGGAAGCUGGUGUUCCCGUCAUGAAGACUCAGAGGUAGGGCACUCAACUGAGUGAACUCUAGGUAGGAAAGAACAGUGACCACAGAAACGUAGUGUCUCUCUGAAGCUGGAAAUUUGAUCCCAGGUGAAAGCAACCCAGCAGCUGACUACUCAAUGUCUACUGUGUAGUUCCAAGGUUUAGUUCAACUGACUGCAGAUCACCGAAACCUCAGCUAGACCCUGGUUCAAGGCUUUUGGUGGUAGAAGAAGUUAUGUGUGCAGGCUUCACUGUCAGAGAGACUUAGGCUUUGCUCUCCGCUCUUAUGCUCUCUAGCAGAGCCAUCUUGGAUGAAUUGCUGAACUUCACACCAUAAUCUGGAUGUGAUAAUGUUUACUAUACAGACUUCAGGUAAGGAUUUAAUUGAGAUCAUAGACAGAAAGCACUAAGUAAGCAUUCCCUAACCCAUGCUAAUGCACAAAACUUGUUGGUUACUAUGAUUACAAAAGCUGCCACAACAUCUCUCUUGAAGCUUAUAGUGUAAGGGGAAAAGGGGUGCCGGGCACAAAGUUCCUCUAAACAGAGUUGAGCAAUGCUUUUAAGAACUGUUGGAAAUAGAUUUUACUAUCCCCAUUCUUCCCAUGAGGACAUGAAAACCCCUAAAACCUAAAGUUUUGCUCAAGGCCACAUAGCUAAUCAUAGGGCCUGGAUGAAAAUCUGUGUCCGCUGGAACUGUCUCCCAUUAAAGGCCAUGAACUUUCCAUAACAUCAGCAGCCACUUCUGACUUCUCACUCUUCCACGGAGAGGCUGGACACUGGGGAACAUGUUGUUUCAACUAAUUUUACCUUUGUUAUCACAUUCAGUAAGUGGUAUUUAUGUUGGCUGUCCUUUAUGUCUCAUUUGAUUAGGCUUCAGGAGAACAAAUGAUAUAGUAGUCACAAGAAGACUUGAUAAAACAGGAUAUUCCUAUCUCAAUUUUUUUUUCUGGCUUUCUCUUGAUUUGAGGAGCCCAUAGGAAGAACAAAUAAAACCAAAGCAUGAGUGGGUAAAAGAAUGCCCAUCAGUAAAGCAGCAAACGAGCUUUGAGCUCUUUGGAGAAUUCCAUUAAUAAAAGUACUUUUGCACUUGCCACUGUUGACAGAGAUGGAGGACUUGGGUCUCCUAACACCGUCAAGCUGCACCUUUGUGUAACACAUCUAAUCCACUACAGAGGGACAACUUUCAACUGAUGCCUACAGUUUUUCCUUCUCUGAAGCUUAGUGACAUUCAUCGUUUUCUUCUCACAUUUUCUUUUAAAUGCCCCAGUGCAUGACUACCUUUUCAAGGGUUUGUCCCUUUUCAGUAAGAGAGAAAUCAACUAUAGCAGACACUGGGAGGCAGGGUCCACAGCUCUCCCAAGAAUGACAAUAAUGUGAUGGUUUAGGCAUCUGACCCUUACUCAUUGCUCUCUCCAACUCUGUUCCAUUUUGAUAUUAAUUAAAAACAGUUUUAAUCUAAAACCCGUCUAUCAAAAGAAGAACUGCUUGAAGCAAUAUAUGCCUCCUGAAGUCAAUGUCAUGUGACUUUACUCCACUUGAAUUACCUGAAGCAAGACAGUAGUAGUAAUAGCUAUCAUAGUCCAGCUACCAUUUCUUUU